rnacentral:lncRNA from 1 species
CAGGCGGGGAAGGGGCGGGGCAGGGAGGGAGAGUGUCAGCGGCAAGAUAUGCAGCAACGGACCCUACAGCAAGCACGAUGUGCAAAGUACAUCUACCCAGGAUGCGGUUCGGAUGCCCCUCCCCCCAAAAAUCAUACAUCUGCCCCUACUCACUGACGUCCAGCUGCAGCUUGUGCAGGUCGGCGCUGCAGCACGGCUCAGAGGGGUUGGCGCACUGAGGGUCGCUGUACUGGACAGUCCAGCAGAUGGUGUUGGUGCCGGGGAAGGUGGUCACGGGCUUCACCGAGUACUUGGACUUGGUCAGCGCGCGCGUGCAGCCGGAGUAGGGGAAGUCAAGGGCGGUUGCCGCGGCCCUGUCAUGUGCAAGCAAACAAGGUCAGUCGCACGCAAACCAAAGGCUGUUGCGUGAUUGCCAAACUGAUGAUUCGCUCUAUGAUUUGCCGACAAAGAACAAACCAAGCGACCGCACAAGUGAACGACGGAAGCCAACAGAGCGUGUGACCCAUCCACAAUAAUGUCCUCGGCCGCCUACACUUACACGAAGGCCAGCAGGGCCACAGCGACGGCAGUGCGUCGCAUACUGGGCCACGUCACUUUCGUCCGCCUUCUGUCUCCUGCAAGUUCGCAAUAUCAUUAUUAAUGAGUGCCGGCGUUGCUGUCAACUGGGCGGCAGCAUGUGACAACACGCUGGCCUCCAGUGGCAAUAUUGCCAUUGAGUGGCGCUGCUAAGGUCUAAGGCGCCGAGCGUCGCAGGGAAGCAUAUGGCACCCACCUCUCAAUGCCGCCGACAAGGAAAAUACCCAAUGACCCGCUCUGAAGAGUCGCACACCUAAAAACGACGCAAGAUUGUGUAUGCGUUGUGAGUGCGAGUCUAUGCGAAGAGCGGAAAUGCGACGGCUUAAGAGGAGAGAGGGCACCGUACGGGGGUUGGCGGAAUGGCGGGCGGCGGUCGCACUUGCGGUAACGGCAGGGCUUCAGCUCUCACCAGCUGAGCCAUGUAGCUAUCACGAUUAUCCACAAGCUUAAGCGGGGAUGGGCCGUAGGUUGGGUGCCCCGCGGCUUGCUGAAUCCUUCGCGCGCCGUGCGCAAGCGCACUGCGAAGUUUCCCUGCGAAUAACAAGUUGGCAAACUUCAAACAGCAGCACAACAGAUAGACCUUUUCGGCAAAGCAGGGCGCAUAUAGCGCAUGUUGCUGGCAACCGUGAAUGGAUGGUCGCUUUCACUUGCACUCUCCGACGCAACUGCACAGUUAUAUGUGCUAUUCGAGAUUCCUGAUCAGUUCAAGCCAGCGCCAGAAGCUGAUGAAACCGUUAUGGGCGAAGUCUAUCGAUCGACAAUAAUGCUUUACGGCUUUUGGCUUUGGCUGCUCAUGGCCCCGCAAGCCGAUUACACUGGCAACGCUGCACCUCUACACGGUUCUUAUGUUGUAUGCGUCAUGCGCAGCACUAUGACUACUCGGUUCCCGUAUUCUUACUUGCCCUGGAUGGUCGGACCUGGUCGAACUUCAUGCCCUGCGCCCCUGGGGCGUUUAAGGUGUCCCUUUGGGUGCGAAUGCAUUACACGCACGACAUAUAUGCGUGGUUUCAGGCUAGCAGAGUCCUUGCAAAAUUCGGGGCAUGGCCAGGUGUCCGCUGCAAUGAGCACGUGUAUAUUCUGGACGCUCAUCCGUGGGCGGGUCGUGCGUGCAUACUCCAGCCGGCCAGGAUGUCACGCGCCCACACACACCUCGCGUGUAGCUCUGAAGGCAGUGGCCUAAUUGACCUGGGCAAUACUUAUGCGAUGUAUGAAGUCACGCACGCUUGCCUGCAAUCCUGCACAUGGAUGCCUUGGCAGGGGGGGGGGUAGAAAGCUCAGUUUCUUACCCCAUGCUCAAAAUUACAGAGCUUUAGGAGAGCAUUAUGCACGUGCUUGUAGUUUUUUAAGGGGGUGUCUGGUGAGGAAGUUCUGGGCCGCCAAAGUUGGGGGGUCGGUCCUCGUCCCUGGGGGUCCGUCGGGUUUCGGGAGCCCAUCCUGGCGGAUUUCGGGAAGCGCCCCACAAGCAGAACUAGGGGCCAAACGCAGCAGUGCGAGGCUCAUAUGUGUACGUUAUGACGUGAUAAGCACAAACAAAGCGUGGGAGGGCUAAGUUUCGCGUCCGGACGUGGACAUGUCCGGACAUGUCUCCACAUUCAACACAUGCGCACUGACACAGCUGGGCUCUGAAGCGCUGAUGCGCAUGAGUUCACGUCUAACAAGGCUGCCGAUACACAUUGUCCAUUCGUCACGCGGCAAAGAGUUGAGCGCGGGGUGGUCUGGGUCGAGGGGAUUUCCAUGGAUAGGAUCCCCGUGACCGAAGUCUCAGAACAGGACCGCUGAUGGCACGGAGUGAUAGUGCUCGUCAAGAGGAGUCGAUUGACACUACUUUGGUAUUAAAUGGAGGAGUUUUAACCGCUGAACAACAAGGUUUUGUCCGUCGGGGGGUCGGUCGUCCCCUCAAGGGGGGUCCCGGGGGAUUUCGGGGCAUGGGGUCUGGCACUUUGUUUCCUACCCCCCCCCUGGCCUUGGGAUUGGUACAGACACCGCGGCCAUUUCAUCUUCUGGUAUCGAAGAUGUAAGCUUGAAGACUGGUCUGUGGAAUUACUGAUGCCUCAGCGCCCCCUCCCGUCCAGGCGCCGCGCACCAUCCGCACGGAGCGGCCACCGUCCAGUGACGAUACCGCCUUACUUAACCCUAUUAACCCUAUGCGUUUCAACAGUGGGUGACCAUGGCGGCGGGGCAUAUCGGGGCGAUCGGCCACCAAUGCGACUUCCCCUUGCUUGUGGACGCACAUGAUUAUUUGAGGACGGCUUCUACAAAGCUUUCUAGCCCGCCGCCCUGCUGCACAAAUUAGGCCACGGCCGGGGCCGCCAUGGUCGUGGCCACGUGCGGCCCGCACGGCGCAAACACCGCAAUGCCGGCUGUGUGGUUGAGAACGGCCAUGGUCGGCCGGGUUGAACAGCAGAGCUACGGUAUGGGAAGCCCACUAGCCCAGGUUGGAGCGCGGCAACGCAGCUGCGCGCGCAGAAACCCGCAGCGCCACCCCCGCCGGCCGUACUGUGGCUGCGCGCGGUUGGUACUGCUGCGUCUGUAUACCCGUACAGCAAAUUUCCCUGCCCAUUCCAUCUGCAUCUCCGUAGUUUUGUGCACUCCAUGGACACGCCGACCUGGUGUUAUUACGCCAUCUCGUCAGCAGACACCCCUGUCCUCCGACAUGGGCCCAGCCCCGCCCUCGCCUCACGCAUGGCCAUUGCGUCCCAGCUAACAUUCAACCAGCCAUCACCAACAUCUGGGAAGCUCCUUCAGAGAAAUGUUAGCUAGUGUGAAUGCAAAUCCUUGUGAGCCCGGCGCUCCUCCAUCACACCCCUGUCGUACUACCCACCAGGCGCCAGGCCGUGCGGUGUGCAGCUCGCAGCUCGCAGCGCUAGCUUCAGCUGCUCCUCCUCUCCUCCGGCGUGCUUGUGCCACUGCACAGACUCAUUGCGUCCCCGCACAGCCUCCUACCUAUGCACGGGCUGAUGGGCAUGUAUGCGCGCCCUCACGCCCCAUUGCUCUGAUCAUCACCGCUGCCUCACCUGCCUGCACCCUACUCCAUCCCCCCCCCUGCUUUGUGCAUAUGCCUACUACUAUGAACAUCCCUUGCAGCGGCUCACUAUGGACGCCAAUGUGGUGCCCUGCAGAUGCACGCAGCGCGCAGUCCCAAAUCUUCAAGUACUCCCGCACGGCAUAGUCUGUUGUCUGUGGCGUGUCCUGUGGAUCGCCUGGCCGGGCGCCUGACCAGGGUCGCCGGGCAUUUCCGCUCGCUGCCAGCCACGCCUCAGCUCGAUCGCCCCGGCCUCGAUUGGGCGCUUAGUUCACGGUCAGCCUUCCGCAGCAGCUCUGGGCCAUGUGGUAACGCGGUGCUGCUGACGGGGCCGGGGAAUCGUUGGCGCGAGGGCUACAUAUAUCCUCAAGUAUCAUUGGCGCCGGGGGGGGCACAAAUGCACAACCAUUGGCUCCUAGAGGUUCAGCUGCUGGCUUCCCUUGCCCUUGCCCUUACACGCUGUUCCGCCGCUGCGCUGCGUCCUCUCUUGGGAAGAGUUGCAAUGCAAGGCACGCAUCACAUGGACCAACAAAAGCUUACGCCAAGUCCCACGCCGCCGCUUCGCCACAUCUUCUGAGACAACGGUGCGUGCGCCUUUGAAACCGUCGCAUUAGGUGGGUUGCUCGGCUUGCGCCAAACCGCCGGUUUUGUGGCGUGCGGUGUCCCACAUACACACGCCCUACCCCCAGACAUGUACACACCUGCAACGCACGUUGCACGUAUUUUCCCGUGUGCGCUUCCACACAUGCGACAUAUUCCCGUGCCAUGCACGCCUUCGGGUCAUUAUCCCAGAGUUAUGUCAUGAUCGAGAGGAACAAUCAUAUUGGCUAGCCAAGCCUGCUGUAUCAUCUUGGCUAAACCUGCUCUCUCUCAACUCCGAAGCCGCUGGCACGUAUGCCAUUCAAGCCCCUUCUUCUCGUCCACCACCAACACAGUCAUGUAAGCGCUUGUAUUGAGCAUACGCUCAUGCAACAGGUCAUGUAGACAAUAAAGCACGGAGCCGUCAAGACGAAGACAAAAUUGAGGCGGCCAGCCAUCCCGCUCGUAAAGCGCAAGACGCGCGGUUCGGCAUUGCACGUCAAGACAAGCAAGCACAACGCUUAGUCAACGGGUAGGAAGACCGUCCAUGGGGCCCGGCUGCCGUUACUCUGCCGGGAAGGUGGGGCAGCAGCUCUGGUCAGGGUUGAACAGAGAGCCCCACACGUAGCCAUCGGGGUCCAUUGAGAAAUCCGCAAGCGUGGUGCCCGACUUGAACUUGAAGCAAAUCUUGGGCUUGAGCGACGCAACGUCGCCGGUCUUCCAGUUCAGGUCAGAGACUUUCAGCGUGUUGUCACCCACGGGGCCCCACGACUCUGCACCCACAGGUGGGAGCGAACACGGGUCAGCGUGGGAGGAGCGUCAGCAAGCAAGUGGCACUUGUCCGGUGCCACUGGACACACGCAAAUACGUGCGCAUCACCCUUGGCAUGACCGUGUAACACACACGCCCACACACAUAGCCAGCAACCAACCAUCACACCGCUUUCCCAGUACAUGCCUAUGUCAGGUCCCACGAAAGGCGGCGCUCGCUACUCACGAGAGCGGGUGGCGGUCCUGCCGUUGUUGUAGCGAAUGGUGAUGCCAGUCAGCUUCCAACGCAUAUUGUAGUCGAAGUAGAACUCGGCCUUUUUCAUGAUGGUGGCGGAGGCGCACUUGCCGGGGCCAGCCGCGGCGGUGUACACGCUUAGGCAAUACUCGUUGUUGACGUCAUCCACCUCGACGGCAUUAUCCAGGUAGAAGGGGGUCGAGCCCUGCUGCUUAUUGCACACGCAGAAGGGGAAGGGCGUGGUGGGCGGGGCGCAGGCGGGCCCAGCCUUGAAGAUGCCACAGUCCUGAUCGGUCGAGGUGACGCCGGUCGAGUAGCCAGCCAGGGCCAGAGGGCAGUCGCCAGUGAAGCCGAACACGGAAGUAACGAGGCCAUUGCCCAUAGACUCCAGCUCGUUUGCCAUCUUAGCGCCCCGCUCCUUUGAAUACAUAGUGGCGCAGGCCGUGAUCUUGUUGCCGUUGCAGGUGAUGGAGUCGGUGCCGGCGAUGAUGGUGCCAUCUUCCAUGUAGGGAGCGAACAGCUCGCUAAUGACGUCCUUGCCGACGGCGCAGUUGUAGGCAUCACCGAAGUAGUUGAGGUCAUCAACCAGGACGUUGGGACCAGCAAUGGCCUCCCAGGUAGCGCACACCUUGCAGGGGGGAGGGGGAGAGGGAGGAGGAGGCGAGGGGGGAGGAGGCGAGGGGGGAGGGGGAGGGGGGGGAGACGGGGGAGGAGGCGAUGGGGGAGGGGGAGAGGGAGGGGGAGGAGAGGGGGGAGGAGGAGAGGGAGGAGGGGGAGGGGGAGGAGACGGGGGAGGGGGAGGAGGAGGCGAGGGCGGAGGGGGAGAGGGAGGAGGGGGAGAGGGAGGAGGAGGCGGGGGAGGAGACGGGGGAGGGGGAGGGGGAGGAGAGGCGCCACGGGUGACCGGGCAGCACUGGUGAGCGGUGUCCCACAGAGCCACCGACCAGACGGGGCUGGGGGUCAGGGAAGCCAGGGUCAUGCAAGAGCCGCCCGUGAGGGUCAGGCAGAUGGUGGCGCCGUUGGCGGAGGCACCGUCCAGGCCCAGGCCGGGAAUCGACAGCACAUACUGGUCAGAGCCACCGUUGGGGGGGCGGUAGAUGGUGGGGGAGGGGGUGCCUUGGCCGUUGACGGUGGCGGUGGCACGGAAUCCAGACGCGCAUGACUGCUCUGCAAGCGGGGAAGGGGCGGGGCAGGGAAGGAGAGUGUCAGCGGUAAGAUAUGCAGCAAUGGACCCUACAGCAAGCACGAUGUGCAAAGUACAUCUACCCAGGAUGCGGUUCGGAUGCCCUCCCCCCUAAAAACAUAAAUCUGCCCAGCGGUCUGGCCCCUACUUACUGACAUCCAGCUGCAGCUUGUGCAGGUCGGCGCUGCAGCACGGCUCAGAGGGGUUGGCGCACUGAGGGUCGCUGUACUGGACAGUCCAGCAGAUGGUGUUGGUGCCGGGGAAGGUGGUCACGGGCUUCACCGAGUACUUGGACUUGCUCAGCGCGCGCGCGCAGCCGGCGUAGGGGAAGUCAAGGGCGGUGGCCGCGGCCCUGGAAGUGGAGGGCACGAAUCGGGGGUGUAACCGACACGCCGCGUCAGCACAGCGGUUGCAGAAGAACAGCAGGCACGCUGUAUUUGGCAGCUCAGCUGCGAUCAUUGUUUGCAGAGACGGUUCCGCGUAAAGCAGCAAUUAUGGCAGCGCCGCUGCCGUGUAGUCCCACCGGGUCCCACCGACAUGCCGCCCACGCGACUUACACGA